rnacentral:rRNA from 1 species
ACUCCUACGGGAGGCAGCAGUGGGGAAUUUUGGACAAUGGGGGCAACCCUGAUCCAGCAAUGCCGCGUGUGUGAAGAAGGCCUUCGGGUUGUAAAGCACUUUUGUCCGGAAAGAAAACGCUCUGGUUAAUACCUGGGGCGGAUGACGGUACCGGAAGAAUAAGCACCGGCUAACUACGUGCCAGCAGCCGCGGUAAUACGUAGGGUGCGAGCGUUAAUCGGAAUUACUGGGCGUAAAGCGUGCGCAGGCGGUUUUGUAAGACAGGCGUGAAAUCCCCGAGCUCAACUUGGGAAUUGCGCUUGUGACUGCAAGGCUAGAGUAUGUCAGAGGGGGGUAGAAUUCCACGUGUAGCAGUGAAAUGCGUAGAGAUGUGGAGGAAUACCGAUGGCGAAGGCAGCCCCCUGGGACGUCACUGACGCUCAUGCACGAAAGCGUGGGGAGCAAACAGGAUUAGAUACCCUGGUAGUCCACGCCCUAAACGAUGUCAACUAGUUGUUGGGGAUUCAUUUCUUCAGUAACGUAGCUAACGCGUGAAGUUGACCGCCUGGGGAGUACGGUCGCAAGAUUAAAACUCAAAGGAAUUGACG